rnacentral:rRNA from 1 species
GAUGAACGCUGGCGGCGUGCUUAACACAUGCAAGUCGAGCGAUGAAGUUUCCUUCGGGAAACGGAUUAGCGGCGGACGGGUGAGUAACACGUGGGUAACCUGCCUCAUAGAGUGGAAUAGCCUUUCGAAAGGAAGAUUAAUACCGCAUAAUGUUGAAAGACGGCAUCAUCAUUCAACCAAAGGAGUAAUCCGCUAUGAGAUGGACCCGCGGCGCAUUAGCUAGUUGGUGGGGUAACGGCCUACCAAGGCGACGAUGCGUAGCCGACCUGAGAGGGUGAUCGGCCACAUUGGGACUGGGAUACGGCCCAGACUCCUACGGGGGGCAGCAGUGGGGAAUAUUACACAAGGGGGGAAACCCUGAUGCAGCAACGCCGCGUGAGGGAUGAAGGUUUUCGGAUCGUGAAGCUCUGUCUUUGGGGAAGAUAAUGACGGUACCCAAGGAGGAAGCCACGGCUAACUACGUGCCAGCCGCCGCCGUAAUAC